GAUGCAUCCAGCAAGCGUGUGUUCAAGCAGAAGCUGUGCUACACCUCGUGAGCUGCAAAGCCGCAUAAGGCACCUGGAGCUUCUAGAUCUAGUGUUUUGUGUACAAGUGAAAAGCCUUCUUGGAUAAUUAAGACUGUGUCUAAAACCACAGUUACAGUAUGCUGAUCUUAAAGAUUCUAAGGAAACUCAGGUUUAACUGACAGAGACAUCCAUCCCAGAGGACAGUUCAUGGCAUGUCUGUUUGUUCCCUGCUCUGAGUCACCUUUUGAGGAAACCAACUGCUCUCCAUUAACUGCCCAGGAAGUCUGAAAGGAGGAGCCUUCUAAAGCCAAGUCACCUGAAUAUUCUCCUCCUCUCAAAGGGCUGUUGGUUCUACAUGAGCGAAACACUGCCUCCACUGAGCUACACAGCGUUCCUCUCCGGGUACGCAGCGCAUUUGGCCCUCUGGUAAGAGCAGCACAUUGUGGUAGCAGGAUAUUUUUGAAAAGCUAAACUUGGAGGCAACAAGUGGGAUUCUGUUGCAAAUCCAUGAGGAUGUGUGAGGCCCCACAACAUUCUGCCUCCUUCCAUGGUAUCUGUACAUCUUACAGACUGAACAAAUACUCGCCUUCUCUUUCCUUCCCAUAAUCGCUUUUGACACAGGUAACAGUUAGUGUGGAGUAAAAGGAAGGGGGGUUUCAGGAGGACUUUCACACAUUGCACUGCUUUCUCCAAUCCAGACACUGCUACAGUUCUCAGGAGAUCCAAGACCUGACCUUGUGGCCUUCAACUCCUUCUGUACUUACCCAUCC